CCUACGGGAGGCAGCAGUGGGGAAUAUUGCACAAUGGGGGAAACCCUGAUGCAGCAACGCCGCGUGAGCGAGGAAGUAUUUCGGUAUGUAAAGCUCUAUCAGCAGGGACGAAAAAGGCCGUACCUUACCUAAAAACCCCCGCUAACCUCGAUCCAGCAGCCGAGGGAAAACCUUGGGGGCAAGCGUUAUCCCGAUUUAAUGGGUGGAAAGGGAGCGUAGACGGCAAGGCAAGCCAGAAGUGAAAGGGCAGGGCUCAACCCUGGACAAGCUUUUGGGAAUGUGGUGCUAGAGUGCAGGAGAGGUAAGUGGAAUUCCUAGUGUAGCGGUGAAAUGCGUAGAUAUUAGGAGGAACACCAGUGGCGAAGGCGGCUUACUGGACUGUAACUGACGUUGAGGCUCGAAAGCGUGGGGAGCAAACAGGAUUAGAUACCCGGGUAGUC
rnacentral:rRNA from 1 species